UAAAGCGGUACGCGAGCUGGGUUCAGAACGUCGUGAGACAGUUCGGUCCCUAUCUUCCGUGGGCGCAGGAAAUUUGAGAGGAUCUGUCCUUAGUACGAGAGGACCGGGAUGGACGAACCUCUAGUGCACCAGUUAUCCCUCCAGGGGUAUGGCUGGGUAGCCAUGUUCGGAUCAGAUAACCGCUGAAAGCAUAUAAGCGGGAAACUGACCUCAAGAUAAGAUUUCCCUCCCGUGUAAACGGGGUAAGACUCCUUCGAGACUAGGAGGUUGAUAGGCGGCAGGUAGAAGCGUUGUAAGACGUUUAGCCGAGCCGUACUAAUCAGUCGAGCGGCUUGACCAUAUUUUCUU
rnacentral:rRNA from 1 species